GAUGAACGCUGGCGGCGUGCCUAAUACAUGCAAGUCGAGCGAACAGACGAGGAGCUUGCUCCUCUGACGUUAGCGGCGGACGGGUGAGUAACACGUGGAUAACCUACCUAUAAGACUGGGAUAACUUCGGGAAACCGGAGCUAAUACCGGAUAAUAUAUUGAACCGCAUGGUUCAAUAGUGAAAGACGGCUUUGCUGUCACUUAUAGAUGGAUCCGCGCCGCAUUAGCUAGUUGGUAAGGUAACGGCUUACCAAGGCAACGAUGCGUAGCCGACCUGAGAGGGUGAUCGGCCACACUGGAACGGAGACACGGUCCAGACUCCUACGGGAGGCAGCAGUAGGGAAUCUUACGCAAUGGGCGAAAGCUUGACGGAGCAACGCCGCGUGAGUGAUGAAGGUCUUCGGAUCGUAAAACUCUGUUAUUAGGGAAGAACAAAUGUGUAAGUAACUAUGCACGUCUUGACGGUACCUAAUCAGAAAGCCACGGCUAACUACGUG
rnacentral:rRNA from 1 species